UGGAAAGAGGAGUGGCGGACGGGUGAGUAACACGUGGGUAACCUACCCAUCAGAGGGGGAUAACACUUGGAAACAGGUGCUAAUACCGCAUAACAGUUUAUGCCGCAUGGCAUAAGAGUGAAAGGCGCUUUCGGGUGUCGCUGAUGGAUGGACCCGCGGUGCAUUAGCUAGUUGGUGAGGUAACGGCUCACCAAGGCCACGAUGCAUAGCCGACCUGAGAGGGUGAUCGGCCACACUGGGACUGAGACACGGCCCAGACUCCUACGGGAGGCAGCAGUAGGGAAUCUUCGGCAAUGGACGAAAGUCUGACCGAGCAACGCCGCGUGAGUGAAGAAGGUUUUCGGAUCGUAAAACUCU
rnacentral:rRNA from 1 species